AAGGGUAUAGCUUAGCGGUAGAGUGUGCACUUAAAAUGCACAAGGUCCUGGGUUCAAUCACCAGCACCUUCA
rnacentral:tRNA from 1 species